UACAAGAUGGCCAGAGAAUGCCUUUUCAAAAUGACACAGACAAAUCCCGUGAUGUUCGGAGAGGUUGCGCGCGCCUGAAGAUGGUUCACCGAACCACCAGCAGGAAAUCCGAGAUUUUCAAUCAAAGGAGACCAAGUUCAGAUUGUCCAGAUUCAUGGAGGAGUGUCCGGCAACCGCAUUUCAAAAUGGCCCGCGCGGAUCCCUCAUUGUCCGAGAUAGGUCAACGCCCGGUCGGCAUUUUGAAGUUGCCGUGCACACCUCUGAGCCAUCGGCAGAAACGGAAAGGGCUGCGUCCGGAUUCGGCCAUGAAUCUUCUCACUCCAUCAGCCUAGGUUCAUCCAAAGGUUUGAAAUCAAGAUGGCCCGCGCAGAUCCCAUGAUGUCCGAGAUAAGGUCAACUUUGGUCGUGAUUUUGAACAAGCCGCACGCGCUCCCCAACCAUCGGCAACCAUCGAAGAUUUUCUUUCAAAUAUGGUCUGCGCGCGCAUGUAUCUGGACGUCAUGAAGCCAUCUGGGAGCUGUGUUUGAAUUUGGCCCGAGUAAAUCCCGAAGUGCAUGGAAGACGGUCAACCGGUCGACGAUUUGAACUAUGCACGCCUCUUCUCAAGUCAACUAAAGGUCUACCAAGAUCUUCAAUUCAAAAUGGCCCGAGUGAAUCCCCUGAUGUCCGGAGCAUUACCCACUCGGUCACCAUUUUGAACAAGCCCGCGUGCACUUACGAGCCAUUGUCGACCAAACGAGGAUCCAGACCACGUGACACCUAAGAUGAUCCACCGAGAGCAUUUUAGAGGCUCCAUAUCUAAUUUGGCCCGAGCCAAUCCUUCAAUGUUCGGAGCUAGCCCACACGGUGCACCCUCUCAGUCAACCACGAGUCUUCCUCGGUCAAGCUUCAAACUUAGCCGCACAAACCAUUAAUGGAUUGAGCUUUCAGCUGAAGAGGAGCGUCCUUGGUCUUCUGAAAGUCCACAUCUCCCGAGCCAAUCUUGAGCGUUCGUGUAAUCCAAGGGCCGAAAGACCUUCCCUCUCUUUUUAUUUUUUUGCAUUAAAUAAUGUAUCGGCCUUCACUUAGAGGGCAGAGAGAAAUUGAAUAAAAUUUGUGCUUAGCACCUUCUUCCUAACUGUUGAAGCUCUUUCCGACGUACCCUUCUCCAGUGAGUAACAUUCGGCCAAGUGCGUCACCCCUUGCACGUCCGAUCGGCGAGUCACAUCCGAGUGCGGGUAAGGUCUACCAAUCGAACACUUAGAUUGCUCAAGUGUUCGAAUUGUCCAGCCAUUCUAAAACCCAUACACUCUUGAAAAGAGUCCACCCACCCCACCGAGCUUUCACCCCUUUUUCUUCACUUAGCCAUUUUUCCAUCUUUUCGGCCACUUGAGCCAUCCCUCAUUUCUUUCAAGCCAUUUCCAUAAAUUCCCCUCCGAUCACCUACAUUUCCAUUCCAUUACACUUCUGCAACCCAAAUUCCCACUUUGCCCAAGUCCGAUUUUCCCGCGCGCUGCACUAAUCCUCACCUAAGCCCCGUGAGCGUGCAUAGUCCGACCCACGGUGCGCUGACCACCCCAGACGGCACAUUAGGCCGGGGGACAGACUGGAAACGGCUCCUUCGGGGGCCUUCCCCAGGCAUCGAACAGUUGACUCAGAACUGGUACAGACAAGGGGAAUCUGACUGUUUAAUUAAAACAAAGCAUUGCGAUGGUCCUUGCGGAUGCUCACGCAAUGUGAUUUCUACCCAGUGCUCUGAAUGUCAAAGUGAAGAAAUUCAACCAAGCGCGGGUAAAUGGCGGGAGUAACUAUGACUCUCUUAAGGUAGCAAAAUUCCUCGUCAUCUAAUUAGUGACGUGCAUGAAUGGAUUAACGAGAUUUCCAUUGUCCCUGUCUACUAUCAAGCGAAACCACAGCCAAGGGAACGAGCUUGGCAGAAUCAGCGGGGAAAGAAGACCCUGUUGAGCUUGACUCUAGUCCAACUCUGUGAAAUGACUUGAGAGUUGUAGGAUAAGUGGGAGCCAAAAAAUGGCGAAAGUGAAAUACCACUAAUUUUAACGUUAUUUUACUUAUUCCGUGAAUCGAAAGCUGGGCAACGCCCCUCUUUUUGGACCCAAGGCCUGCCUCAGCGGGUGGAUCUGGGCGGAAGACAUUGUCAGGUGGGGAGUUUGACUGGGGUGGUACAUUUGUUAAAAGAUAACGCAGGUGUCCUAAGAUGAGCUCAACGAGAACAAAAAUCUCGGGUGCAACAAAAGGGUAAAAGCUCGUUUGAUUCUGAUUUCAAGUACGAAUACGAAUCGUGAAAGUGUGGCCUAUCAAUCCUUUAGACCUUCAAAAUUUGAAGCUAGAGGUGUCAGAAAAGUUACCACAGGGAUAACUGGCUUGUGGCAGCCAAGCGUUCAUAGCGACGUUGCUUUUCGAUCCUUCGAUGUCGGCUCUUGCUAUCAUAGUGAAGCAGAAUUCACCAAGUGUUGGAUUGUUCACCCACCAAUAUGGCACGUGAGCUGGGUUUAGACCGUCGUGAGAUAGGUUAAUUUGACCCUUCUGAUGAUAGCAUCGCAAUAGUAAUUCAACCUAGUACGAGAGGAAUCGAUGAUUCGCACAAUUAGUCAUUGCGCUUGGUUGAAAAGCCAGUGGCACCUCUAAGUCAGAAUCUGGGCUAGAAACGACGCACGCGCCCGCCGUCGCAUCGAUUUCCAUUGUCCAGCGAGAUUUCCAUUGUCCCUGUCUACUAUCCAGCGAAACCAACAGUAAGGGCCCUCGGCCCCAAAGGGUACGCGUCGUUGGC
rnacentral:rRNA from 1 species